AACGAACGCUGGCGGCAUGCCUAACACAUGCAAGUCGAACGAGACCUUCGGGUCUAGUGGCGCACGGGUGCGUAACGCGUGGGAACCCGCCCUUAGGUUCGGAAUAACUCCCCGAAAGGGGUGCUAAUACCGGAUAAUGUCUUCGGACCAAAGAUUUAUCGCCUUUGGAUGGGCCCGCGUUGGAUUAGCUAGUUGGUAGGGUAAAAGCCUACCAAGGCGACGAUCCAUAGCUGGUCUGAGAGGAUGAUCAGCCACACUGGGACUGAGACACGGCCCAGACUCCUACGGGAGGCAGCAGUGGGGAAUAUUAGGCGAUGAGCGAAAGCCUGGUCCAGCAAUGCCGCGUGAGUGAUGAAGGCCUUAGGGUUGUAAAGCUCUUUUACCCGAGAUGAUAAUGACAGUACCGGGAGAAUAAGCUCCGGCUAACUCCGUG
rnacentral:rRNA from 1 species